CAGGUGUAAAUCUGCUGUGAGAUGCAGAACGGCCGCGUCUGGGAAUCACUCACCUGCCGAAGCCAGCUGGUGCUGCUCUGUCCAGCUGAAGCUUUCGUUUGCGGGGGAGAGACUGCGGUGUCUGGCCAUCAACGUCACACAGGAAACAUCCUAAGAGUCCUCCAGGUUUGGGGAACCAGCAGCUUGACGUUUGUAAGGUAUAAGAAGGUGUAUUGUGCCUGGACUGAAUUUAGACACCUAGACUACUAUGGAAGUGAUUCAUUAGACUAUGUGAGAUGCCUUUCAUGAUACCCGUGAAAGUCAGCCUUUGCUAUAAAAAGACUGGGCUAUAAUUUUGUUGGUGGGGGGGGGGGCGCGAUGGGGAGCUCUCACUGUAAAGUCGGCAUGAAGGUCUCCAGCACCAACAGGUGUGAGCACAGCAGGCGGGUCUGCAGCUGAUGUUUGCUGAAAUCCGCACUCCCCUCAAAGACCCGAGCCAGCAGACUGUCAUGUUUAGCACCAACCGGCCAAGAAGAUGGCUUUCCCUGGUUACCACCUCAUCCGUACCGCUGGAGGAGACGACCCAGUCGUGACAGAAGAUCUGCAGCUUCUGGUUUUUUUUUUUCCUAGUCAUCAUGCGACUUUGCUUGUUUACAGCUGCGAGGUUGUUUUGCUCAGCAAUGUCCCUGGUCACCUAGGAAGCGUCUGACUCAGGCGGAAGACAUGAAUCUGAACCGCGGAGAUUUUAAAUGUAAAGCGAGUGCCUUCCUCUCGCUCACACUGCAGUUGGGCAAUGGUGGGCGACACUGUGUCACACAGGAUUUGGACUCCGCCAGCGGUCGGAUGUAAUAGGAACAUUCUGCCGAUUUCAGACUCCCAAACAAAACCGGCUCGGGAUUUACACAAUGCUGCCCCGAAACAUGCACAACGCUCCGAGGGUCAGGGUUGUCUUACCCUGCCUCGGUGGUCUUCAGGGUUCUACAGCAAGCACAGCUGAGAGGCCUGGCGCUCCUACUUCCUACAGAUCAGGCCAAAGGCUACAUCGUCCAUGUCAGGCAUGAAGUGACACUAAUUCUCAGUCCAGGAGUCUUGUGCCCAAAACCAACCCAUUGCGUCUUCUUUCUGGGGGAGCUCUGAUAAAUGAUGCCACAGUUCAAGUCUUAUUAUCUCUAUAAAUCUAUUACUGACAUUUCAUGAAGAAAAUAAAUAAUAAAUA